AUUGAACGCUGGCGGCAUGCCUUACACAUGCAAGUCGAACGGCAGCACGGGGGCAACCCUGGUGGCGAGUGGCGAACGGGUGAGUAAUACAUCGGAACAUGUCCUAGAGUGGGGGAUAACGCGUCGAAAGAUGUGCUAAUACCGCAUACGAUCUACGGAUGAAAGCGGGGGACCGCAAGGCCUCGCGCUCUUGGAGUGGCCGAUGUCGGAUUAGCUAGUUGGCGGGGUAACGGCCCACCAAGGCGACGAUCCGUAGCUGGUCUGAGAGGAUGAUCAGCCACACUGGAACUGAGACACGGUCCAGACUCCUACGGGAGGCAGCAGUGGGGAAUUUUGGACAAUGGGCGCAAGCCUGAUCCAGCCAUGCCGCGUGAGUGAAGAAGGCCUUCGGGUUGUAAAGCUCUUUCGGCGGGAACGAAACGGUCCGUGCCAACACCACGGACUAAUGACGGUACCCGAAGAAGAAGCACCGGCUAACUACGUGCCAGCCGCCGCAGUAAUAC
rnacentral:rRNA from 1 species